rnacentral:rRNA from 1 species
CCUACGGGAGGCAGCAGUGAGGAAUAUUGGUCAAUGGGCGCGAGCCUGAACCAGCCAAGUAGCGUGAAGGAUGACUGCCCUACGGGUUGUAAACUUCUUUUAUAAAGGAAUAAAGUGAGGCACGUGUGCCUUUUUGUAUGUACUUUAUGAAUAAGGAUCGGCUAACUCCGUGCCAGCAGCCGAGGUAAUACGGAGGAUCCGAGCGUUAUCCGGAUUGAUUGGGUUUAAAGGGAGCGUAGAUGGGUUGUUAAGUCAGUUGUGAAAGUUUGCGGCUCAACCGUAAAAUGGCAAUUGAUACUGGCAGGCUUGAGUACAGUUGAGGUAGGCGGAAUUCGUGGUGUAGCGGUGAAAUGCGUAGAUAUCACGAAGAACUCCGAUUGCGAAGGCAGCUUACUAAACUGCCACUGACAUUGAUGCUCGAAAGUGUGGGUAGCAAACAGGAUUAGAUACCCGAGUAGUC